GGCUGGUCCAAAGGUAGUGAGUUAUCUCACUUGAUUGUUCACAGUCAGUUACAGAUUGAACUCUUCUUUCUGCUACUUUCCCCCUUCUCACUGCUGUACUUGACUAGUCAAAA
rnacentral:Y_RNA from 1 species